AGGUGGCCCGGAGGCCCUGGAUCUUCACGGACGAGGACGGCCAGGACCAGAUUGGCGGCUUCGUGAAGGAGUUCACCAACAUCGCCUUCCUCACCGUCAAGGGCGCUGGCCACAUGGUGCCCACCGACCGGCCACGAGCGGCCUUCAACAUGUUCCAGCGGUUCCUCGCCCGGCAGCCCUUCUGAGCCCAGGAAGAGGGUCUUUCCUGGGGGGGUCUGGCCCCCUCCCUCUGUGGCGUGGCAGCCAGGAGCGGCUCCUGACUGGCCCUUUGUGGAAUCCUGGAAGGAAUCGGACUCUCUGGCACGGCCCCGUCUGCCCUCGCCCUUCUCUGCGCAUUUGCACUGCCCUCAAGGAGGAAGCCAGUCCUCCCGCUAUCCUCACGGGUGGGGGGAAGGGGGGGAACCAUUUCUCAGUCUUCGUUCUGGUUACUCUGGAAGGAGGAACUCGACGUGAGGUCAAGAGAGCAGCCAUGUUCUCCUUUCUGGUCCAAGCAAGCGAUUAAACUAGUAUUUUUCUAAUGGA